UACGAAGGGGGCUAGCGUUGCUCGGAAUCAUUGGGCGUAAAGGGUGCGUAGGCGGCGCCGUAAGUCAGGUGUGAAAUUUCGGAGCUUAACUCCGAAACUGCAUUUGAUACUGCGGUGCUUGAGGACUGGAGAGGAGACUGGAAUUUACGGUGUAGCAGUGAAAUGCGUAGAGAAUCGUAAGGAAGACCAGUGGCGAAGGCGGGUCUCUGGACAGUUCCUGACGCUGAGGCACGAAGGCCAGGGGAGCAAACGGG
rnacentral:rRNA from 1 species